ACCUAGACCCAGGCCAGGUCCAGGCCAGGCCUGGGCCGCUAGUGUGAACGCGGCUUAAGAAAUCCAGGCCAGCAAAUGUAGGUGGCCUGGACCUGGCCUUGGCCUGGCCUGGGCCUCGAUCAUCACUGG